GGAAACAGAUGCUAAUACCGGACAACAACAGAUGAUGCCUAUCAACUGUUUAAAAGAUGGUUCUGCUAUCACUCUUGGAUGGACCUGCGGUGCAUUAGCUAGUUGGUAGGGUAACGGCCUACCAAGGCGAUGAUGCAUAGCCGAGUUGAGAGACUGAUCGGCCACAUUGGGACUGAGACACGGCCCAAACUCCUACGGGAGGCAGCAGUC
rnacentral:rRNA from 1 species